GCUCGAUUAGCUCAAAGGUAGAGCAUUCGGUUGAUAACCGAAAGACAGAGGAUCGUUACCUCUAUCGAGUACCA
rnacentral:tRNA from 1 species